rnacentral:lncRNA from 1 species
CCCGUUCAAGAGCAAUACGUUUAAAGAGCAAUAUCUCUUUAAAGAGCAAUACUACUUAAAGGCUUUGGUGUUUUUCUUUUUUAACCGUCCCUCUCCUCACUCGGUUUUGUUAGACGAGAGCAAAACCCACUUCAGACUUCCUUCUCCAAAUUUCUAUUCAAACGAAACCCUAGAAAGAAACCAAAUCUUCACAAAACCUUCUUCAAAUCGAACGAAGAACGAAGAACGAAGUCCUAUAAUAUUCAGAAAAUCGACCUUUAAUUGUCCAGGUCUCGGAGUGUAGCCCUAGAAUCGAAACCUUCACAAAUUUGAAGUCAAAAUCUUCACAAAUCGAUAAGCUCUUUCUUCACAAACCGACCCUUCUCUUUCUAUAUUCUUCCUUUAUUUGUGCAAAUGAAAUUAAAACAGAGCACAAUACUCUUAGAACGCAAUACUACUUUUCCUCCCUCAAUAUAGAAUAUGAGUAUGAGGUUGCUUUUUGGUUUAAGGUUUUGCUUGAUUCGAGUCAAAUUCCAUUUGGGUGAUUGUAUGUGGUUGAAGAAAUCAAGUUUUGAGUAUUACUGAAAAUAUGGGGGGUGCAGGGGCGGGGGUUUGGAAAGGCAUGGGUUUUGUCUCCUUAGAGUAUUCUAUUGCUGUAACCAAAAUUGAAAGGAGGUAUACUUCAUAAACAACAGUUGAUUGUGAAUUUGUUUGCCCUUUCCCAUAAGCAGCUACAAUGGGUUUUGAUCGGGAUUUUAUAUGAAAAUUUGAAAUAUAAUAUCAUAUCGAC